CCACGCAGCAACUGCCACAUAGAAAAAGGAGGCGUUGCAGCUGCCAUGCAGCAACUGCCACGCAGAAGAAGGAGGGACUGCGACUGCCAUGCAGCAACUGCCACACAGAAAAAGGAGGGGUUGCAACUGCCACGCAGCAACUGCCACGCAGAAAAAGGAGGGGUUGAAAAGGGAGUAGCUUCUGAUAUUCAGUCAGUACGAAUCGGCCUUAGGGUCCCUGCCUCAAGACCCUAUUCUCCUGUCUCACUUUUAGCUAAGGGUUAUUACAAAAGAGUCAGAAAGUUAAGACAAAAUAUGAAAGUUUAUAAAGUAAAAAGAGUUACAGUGAGCUAAGUAUAACUUAUUGAAAACAUUUUUUUAAUUUAGUGUAGCCUAACUGUGUUUAUACAGUCUACAGUAGUAUACAGUAAUAUCCUAGACCUCCACAUUCCCUCACCACUCACUCACUCACUCACCGACUCACUCAGAGCAACAUCCAGUCCUGGAAGCUCCAUUCACAGUCAAGAAAUGAACAUUGCCCAUAUCACAGUAGCUCCCACCGGUACCUGCUCUAUUAUACCAGCCUCCUUCUGACCUAGAGGAAAUCAUACUCUGACUUAUAUGUUUCCAUCUGGGAUAAUUUUUUUUGUUUGCCUGAUAUGAAUGAAGCUGGAAACCAUCCUUCUCAGCAAACUAACAGAAAACCAAAAACUACAUAUUCUCACUUAUGAGUGGGAGUUGAACAAUGGAAAUACAUGGACACAAGGAGGGGAACAUCACACACCGGGGCCUGUCGGAGGGUCGGGGGCUGGGGGAGCGAUAACAUUAGGAGAAAUACCUAAUGUAGAUGACAGGUUGAUGGGUGCAGCAAACCACCAUGGCACACGUAUACCUGUGUAACAAACCUGCACCUUCUGCACAU